rnacentral:lncRNA from 1 species
AGUUGCUCAUCUCGAUUCCUCUAACUUUAUAAUUUUUAAACUGUCAACUAUCGAAUCGUUGACGCUAAUCAUUAAUCCCAAAAGCUCGAACUGUUAGAAAUACGCAACCAAUUCACUUAAAGCGUACAGAUACAGCGUCCACGGGUCUUGAUUGUGACUUGGCCCCUAACCAGCCUCACGCCAUUUCGAACAUGACUCGACCCACCCAGCCUUACGUCAUUUCGAACAUGACUCGGUCCGACAUGACCUCCUGUCAUAGGACAGAAUGCUGACUGUCGACCCAUUUAAGCCAAUAAUGUCAACUUCUAUAAUUGAUCGCUCUGCUAAAUAUUAACUCUGUACCGAGAAAUAUGAGACAUGUGAAUAUAAAAACUAUCCAGAAAUAAUUUUAUUUUCUGCUCAUAUUCAAUAUUUAAAAAAAUUACCGACCGUCCCUAGUACAAAUGACAAAAAACAUAAUGGUUGAUAUCCGAAGUCUCAAGUUUGAAUCAUAGUUGAUUUACAUUUCUAGCUAAGUUUAUUUCUAAAUAAAAUAAACAAAAUGAGUAAUAUACCAUCUAUCUCUCUCAAGAAAAAAAAAUUAA